UAAACAAUACUAACAACACAUCCUAACAACAUGUAAUUGAGCACAAUUUAUUUUCAUUUUAUGUGCUCACUAUGUACUACUGUGUCUACUACAAUUACUAAAUAUUCCAGUUAAAGGCUAUUUUCUGGCUCAGUGAAUAUGUUGAUGAUCUCAGUGAUUUUAUUUUUAGCCAUAAACAAUUAAGCUGAAUUCACAUAUUUACUGUAUUUCUUAAGAUUAUUGUGAGUAAUUUUGGCCUAUAUAAUGUCUGUCAUGACAGGAAGCAACUCGUCAGAGAUGAGUUGUUUGUUUUGCUAAGACAUCCUUUUGCAAGAUAGUGACAUCCUUUGUCUGACUGUACAAGCUCCGAUAAACACAAAUGAAUACAAAUACGAGAAAUGUACUAUUCUGCGUCUCUCUGGUCCCUCUUGUGGUCGUUGGCGUCGGGGGAACGGGCACAACAAGUGCACUAACUGACAGGGGACUGGAGGCGGUGUUCAGCAUGGAGUGGAUCAAGGACAAUACGGAACGCAACAAUGUCUUGUAAUUUGGGUGGAACACGCCCAAUGCCUGAUCUGCCCACUUCUAGCAUGUGAUAAGACUGCAGUACUCCAUAUCAAGAAAUACAAUUCCAACUAUUGACAACAAGACAAUGUGGAAAUCAAAACCAUAAAAUACUGCUAAAAAGUCA